UACGUAGGGUGCGAGCGUUGUCCGGAAUUAUUGGGCGUAAAGGGCUCGUAGGCGGUUUGUCGCGUCGGGAGUGAAAUCCACUGGCUUAACUGGUGGCUUGAUUUCGAUACGGGCAGACUGGAGGUAUGCAGGGGAGAACGGAAUUCCUGGUGUAGCGGUGAAAUGCGCAGAUAUCAGGAGGAACACCGGUGGCGAAGGCGGGUCUCUGGGCCGGAACUGACGCUGAGGAGCGAAAGCGUGGGGAGCGAACAGG
rnacentral:rRNA from 1 species